rnacentral:tRNA from 1 species
GUCCCCUUCGUCUAGAGGCCCAGGACACUGCCCUUUCACGGCGGUAACAGGGGUUCGAAUCCCCUUGGGGACGCCA